UCAAAGCUAGAACUCCACUUUCCAUCACUGUGAGUAAUGAUAAAUAAUGCAUACCAACAUGCAUUUGCAUAGCAUUUUUUUUUACAAACAAUGUCUAAUUGUGCAUUGCAUUCCGAUGUUUAACUUUGCAAUAUUUCUGCAAUUAAUUGCAAUGCUUGAUUAGUUGUGAUGUGACAAUGCCUUGCUUUGUUUGUGUGGAAUUGGGAUGAAGUGGGUCACCAUGGGUUUGUGAGACUGUUUCUGUUAUAUGGAUCCUGAUUCUGUUUCUGUUAGCCGGGUAAAUGGGAGAUCGGCGCCCCCGUGUGCACCUACCGUUACCGUUACCGUUAACCACGGGUUGGCUUCUCGUCGUUGCGCACCGGACAGUCUAGAUUUGAUCGCAGCCCGCAGGGUGGCCUCCUGUUGUGAGCGCCUGAUGAUCUAGAUUUGAUGGAGACGACCGGGUUACCUCCUGUUGGUAUGAAAAAGAAAAGAGAGAAUGGAAAAACAAUGAGAGGGCUGGUCAAGUGAGGAUUAGACCGGUCGGCCAGUAUGGGGGAUCGGCUCCCUGGUGCACAUGUGAGAGGAUGAGCCAUGUGGGAGGACGGCUCAUCGGGGGUUCGGUGACUCCACUGACUAAUCUCCACGUGAUGUGAUUAAUUGAAGGUGAUAUUGUUUGUGGGUGCUGAUGUAAUGUCAUCUGAUUGACUGAUGUGUGUUCAUUCAGUAUACUAGGGUGCAUUUUGCUUGACUGUAUGUGGUGUGUAUUAUUUAUUAUUAUUCACUGAGUUGCAAAACUCACCCCCUAAACAAAUCUCCCAGGUACUAGGAAGUUGCCGGUUCGACUGAAGCUCUGCACUCUUCUCCGCAGAGUUAUAAAUGUAAAAUUUGUAUUCCUGUUAUUUAAUUUGGACUGUAUAAAUUAUAUUUUUAUCUGACUAUUAUUGAGCUCCGCAGUUAUAGGGUUGUGUAUUUAAAUUGGUUUUUAUUGUUAGCACUACGCUAUAAAUUAAUUAUUGUUUAAUUAGCUGCAGGUGAAUCAGUAAGCCCAUAUUGUGAUUAUGAUUUAUUAUGAACAGGCCCUGGUUAAAUUUUAUGUAUUAUUGAGAUUGGGUCAGAUGUUUGAAAAUUUUUAUCAACUUGUAUCUUAAGUCAUAUGGGCUUACUGUUUUGAUGAAAUUGGGACAGAUAGUUAGAUAGAUUGGAUAAUUUAGGCUUACUACGGGCCUCGGGGGCCUUAAGCUUACCUGGGCCCUAGUGCCGGUCCGGCCCACGGAAACGGGUCGUGACA
rnacentral:lncRNA from 1 species